UCAAACAGCGGCCUUCGGGCCUUGCUGCACCCUUGUCUUUUGCGAUACCGUAUGUUUCCUCGGCGGGCUUGCCUGCCGGUUGGACAUUCUCAAAAACCUUUUAUGUAGUUGCAAUACAGCGAUCAGAAAACAAAUUAUGAAUAUUAUUA
rnacentral:misc_RNA from 1 species